GACGUAGGGUGCGAGCGUUGUCCGGAUUUAUUGGGCGUAAAGAGCUUGUAGGCGGUUUGUCGCGUCUGCCGUGAAAAUCCGAGGCUCAACCUCGGACUUGCGGUGGGUACGGGCAGACUAGAGUGUGGUAGGGGAGACUGGAAUUCCUGGUGUAGCGGUGAAAUGCGCAGAUAUCAGGAGGAACACCGAUGGCGAAGGCAGGUCUCUGGGCCACUACUGACGCUGAGAAGCGAAAGCAUGGGGAGCGAACAGG
rnacentral:rRNA from 1 species